UACAGAGGGGGCAAGCGUUGUUCGGAAUUACUGGGCGUAAAGGGCGCGUAGGCGGCCUGUUAAGUCGAACGUGAAAUCCCCGGGCUCAACCCGGGAACUGCGUCCGAUACUGGCAGGCUUGAAUCCGGGAGAGGGAUGUGGAAUUCCAGGUGUAGCGGUGAAAUGCGUAGAUAUCUGGAGGAACACCGGUGGCGAAGGCGACAUCCUGGACCGGUAUUGACGCUGAGGCGCGAAAGCCCAGGGGGAGGCAAAACGGG
rnacentral:rRNA from 1 species